AAUGAGGUGGCUGAAAAUUUAGGCUAUAAAUUGUAAAUUUAUAUAUGGUUUAACCCCUUAUUA
rnacentral:tRNA from 1 species